rnacentral:tRNA from 1 species
GGGAGUGUAGCUCAGUGGUAGAGCAUUCGACUGCAGAUCGAGAGGUCGGGGGUUCAAAUCCGCUCACUCCCU